UAAAGUCGGAUAUUACGAACAAAUGUUUAAAAUCCAAAGAUCUUGGCGGUGUCUUAUAAAAUCAGGGGAACCUGUCUCAUAACUCGAUAAUCCACGCGCUCUCAACCCCCUAUAGAACUACCAGCUUGUAUACUGCCGUCGUAAGUAUACCUCUAAAAGAACUAGUAUACUAUAAUGAAGUAUAUACUCUCAUAUACGUCAGGUCAAAGUGCAGCCAAUUAGGGGGUGAUGAUGGGUUACAACCUUAAAAAAGACACAAACUGAAACAUUAAAAAUUUCAUGAAGGUGGACUUGACUGUAAUUAUAUCACCAUGUUAUAAUGAGCAUUAAUCUAAGACAUGCACACAUCGCCCG
rnacentral:rRNA from 1 species